rnacentral:rRNA from 1 species
UACGUAGGGUGCAAGCGUUAAUCGGAAUUACUGGGCGUAAAGAGCGUGUAGGCGGUCCGGUAAGUCCGCUGUGAAAGUCGGGGGCUCAACCCUCGAAUGCCGGUGGAUACUGUCGGGCUAGAGUGCGGAAGAGGCGAGUGGAAUUCCUGGUGUAGCGGUGAAAUGCGCAGAUAUCAGGAGGAACACCUAUUGCGAAGGCGGCUUCCUGGCCUGCAACUGACGCUGAGACGCGAAAGCGUGGGGAGCGAACCGG